GGCGCUGGAGAAUUGAGGGGGGCUGCUCCUAGUACGAGAGGACCGGAGUGGACGCAUCACUGGUGUUCGGGUUGUCAUGCCAAUGGCACUGCCCGGUAGCUAAAUGCGGAAGAGAUAAGUGCUGAAAGCAUCUAAGCACGAAACUUGCCCCGAGAUGAGUUCUCCCUGAGACCUUGAGUCUCCUGAAGGAACGUUGAAGACGACGACGUUGAUAGGUCGGGUGUGUAAGCGCAGCGAUGCGUUGAGCUAACCGAUACUAAUGAACCGUGAGGCUUAACCUU
rnacentral:rRNA from 1 species